GGGGGCAUGGGGUAGUCAGGCAUCCUGGUGGGCUCCAGUUAGAUGAUGAGCAGCGGGUCAGCUGAAAGAUGAUGAAUAACUGGAGCGCUGACCCACAGGAGAGACCCGCGGACCUGGGUUCGAAUCCCAGUGCCCCCA
rnacentral:tRNA from 1 species